CACGUGAGGGUGCGAGCGUUUGUCCGGAAUUAUUGGGCGUAAAGAGCGUCGUAGGCGGUGUGUCGCGUCGGCCGUGAAAACCUGCAGCUUAACUGUGGGCUUGCGGUCGAUACGGGCAUCACUGGAGUUCGGCAGGGGAGACUGGAAUUCCUGGUGAUAGCGGUGAAAUGCGCAGAUAUCAGGAGGAACACCGGUGGCGAAGGCGGGUCUCUGGGCCGAAUACUGACGCUGGAGGAGCGAAAGCGUCGGGGAGCGAACAGGAUUAG
rnacentral:rRNA from 1 species